rnacentral:misc_RNA from 1 species
UCAUCCCUGGGUGGGGAUUUGUUGCAUUACUUGUGUU